rnacentral:rRNA from 1 species
UACAGAGGGGGCAAGCGUUGUUCGGAAUUACUGGGCGUAAAGGGCGCGUAGGCGGCCUGCUAAGUCGAAUGUGAAAUCCCCGAGCUCAACUCGGGAACUGCGUCCGAUACUGGCAGGCUUGAAUCCGGGAGAGGGAUGCGGAAUUCCAGGUGUAGCGGUGAAAUGCGUAGAUAUCCGGAGGAACGCCGGUGGCGAAAGCGGCGUGCUGGACACCUUCUGACGCUGAGACGCGAAAGCCAGGGGAGCAAACGGG